UCGGGAAUUUUGGGCAAUGGGCGAAAGCCUGACCCAGCAACGCCGCGUGAGGGAUGAAGUAUUUCGGUAUGUAAAGCUCUGUCUUCAGGGACGCUAAUGACGGUACCUGUGGAGGAAGCCACGGCUAACUACGUGCCAGCAGCCGCGGUAAUACGUAGGUGGCAAGCGUUGUCCGGAUUUACUGGGCGUAAAGGGAGCGUAGGCGGACUUUUAAGUGAGAUGUGAAAUACCCGGGCUCAACCUGGGUGCUGCAUUUCAAACUGGAAAUCUAGAGUGCAGGAGAGGGGAUGGGAAUUCCUAGUGUAGCGGUGAAAUGCGUAGAGAUUAGGAAGAACACCAGUGGCGAAGGCGACUCUCUGGACUGUAACUGACGCUGAGGCUCGAAAGCGUGGGGAGCAAACA
rnacentral:rRNA from 1 species